AGCGAACGCUGGCGGCAGGCCUAACACAUGCAAGUCGAACGAACUCUUCGGAGUUAGUGGCGGACGGGUGAGUAACACGUGGGAACGUGCCUUUAGGUUCGGAAUAACUCAGGGAAACUUGUGCUAAUACCGAAUGUGCCCUUCGGGGAAAGAUUUAUCGCCUCUAGAGCGGCCCGCGCCUGAUUAGCUUGUUGGUGAGG
rnacentral:rRNA from 1 species